rnacentral:lncRNA from 1 species
GAGAGAAGUUGAGAAAAGGGACUGAGGUUGAUAGCGAGACAGAGAGACAGCGUCGGUUUUUCUCUGAAACAAAGGGCAGAUUUGCAUGCCACUGAGACAGGUUCUCAGAAACCUUGUGUUAAGAAUAACUUGGUCUUUGAGCUGCACAUGCAGGGUUUGACAUAGGAGAUCACACCGUAAGGACCGUGUGGUGGUAACAAUAUCGUCAUCCAGUGGCCUCAACAUCUUUGAUCUUCCAUGUCACCUGGCUAUCUUUAUCACUGUGAUGCUGGUCAGGAAACGGGUGUGGACCAUAGUCUGAGAGGGGGAGUAGUUGUGUUCUGACUGAUGACAAGGGCCUUGUAAAGACCAUCCAGACCAUCUCCUUCCUCAACCUGUCCAACCUCACCUCCUGGCAGAGGGAGACCCACUUCCCUCACUCCAAAAGCAGCGAACUAACAAUCAUGAAUCUAGAAAAUCUGAUUUUAUUUCAAUUUGGGAAUUAAUUAUCAAGACAUAAUUCAUAAAUGACAUGUGUUGAAAAAAUAAAAUACUUGUAUUGUUUUAUUGUUAAGUCUAAGUAUUAGUUUAUUUGCCAGUGUUGUUUAUAUGUGUAACAAGUUACCAAAAGUGUCAACAAUUUAACCUGACCUUAUGGUGAGAGUGAUUAUUAUUUACAUUCUCUAAUUCAAGUUCUCUCUGUACACAUACAAUGUCUUAAAUAAUGAAGUAGAGAUCCACGGAAGGGUGAUCCAAAGGGGAAUGUUAGUUGGUUGUAUCUACAUGGUGAAAAACAUAUCCACAUUUAUAAAUGUGGUUUUGUAUUCACACACAUCUACUCCCUGCUUUUAAGCAAGAAGGUUGAGCUCAUUUCAUCCUCCAUGGUCUUAACUUAAAUGGAUGAAAUUUUGACCAGUUCAAAGCCAGGCUGAUAUUCUCCCCCAAAAGAGUCUAUCAACAGGAUCGUAUUUCCCCUUCAGGUUAGAAUGUUGUUUAAAACAUCAUGGAGUAAAACUAUGGGUUAACUGAGACCUAUU